GUGGCAGCCGCCGCGGUAAUACGUAGGGUGCAAGCGUUAAUCGGAAUUACUGGGCGUAAAGCGUGCGCAGGCGGUUUUGUAAGACAGGCGUGAAAUCCCCGGGCUCAACCUGGGAAUUGCGCUUGUGACUGCAAGGCUUGAGUGCGGCAGAGGGGGAUAGAAUUCCGCGUGUAGCAGUGAAAUGCGUAGAUAUGCGGAGGAACACCGAUGGCGAAGGCAAUCCCCUGGGCCUGCACUGACGCUCAUGCACGAAAGCGUGGGGAGCAAACAGGAUUAGAUACCCUGGUAGUCCACGCCCUAA
rnacentral:rRNA from 1 species